CUAUCUCAGAUCCCUUCCCAGUGUUGCAAGCUCUCUCCAUUCUAUCCCAAGUCUCCCGACCAUUAGGGUUUUUCUUAAAGCCCCAGUUCCUGGAGUCAGAGAGUGAGAUGUACCACAGAGAGGGACUGAGAGGGAGGUGUUACUGGAUUCCCCAAAGAAGCUCUGGAAUGGCUCACGCCUUGCAUUCAUGGAGUCUGGGGUGAGGGGAGUAUGACCUUUGAGAAUGCUCAGCUCCUCCAUCCUGGUUUCUAACCUUUCAUAUCAGCUAUAUCCCGGGAAGGACAGUUCUCCACCUUAAGGACAGUCGUGUGCAUCAUGUGUCUUAAGAUGAGACCAUCAGCUUGAAAAUUUAUCAGUUGGGUUUUGGGCUUUUUUAAUGAGUUCGGGGUCAUCCUGCACCUUUCCCUGGGUGUACACAGGCUCCAAAGGAAGGAACACAAAAUCCAUCCCAAGGCUUAGCUGCUUCCAGGGGUCCUCCUCAAGGACUGCUCAGCUCACACCCUAGGUCCUCUCCUUCUAGAGAGCUAUUCCCCAUCUCCCUUAUAGCCAAGUGGGGAAAUGGAGCCAUCUGCAAUUGUGAGCCAGCAGUAUACACUUAA